AGAGUUUGAUCCUGGCUCAGGAUGAACGCUAGCGACAGGCUUAACACAUGCAAGUCGAGGGGCAGCACAGGUAGCAAUACCGGGUGGCGACCGGCGCACGGGUGAGUAACGCGUAUGCAACUUACCUAUCAGAGGGGGAUAACCCGGCGAAAGUCGGACUAAUACCGCAUGAAGCAGGGGCCCCGCAUGGGGAUAUUUGCUAAAGAUUCAUCGCUGAUAGAUAGGCAUGCGUUCCAUUAGGCAGUUGGCGGGGUAACGGCCCACCAAACCGACGAUGGAUAGGGGUUCUGAGAGGAAGGUCCCCCACAUUGGUACUGAGACACGGACCAAACUCCUACGGGAGGCAGCAGUGAGGAAUAUUGGUCAAUGGGCGUAAGCCUGAACCAGCCAAGUCGCGUGAGGGAUGAAGGUUCUAUGGAUCGUAAACCUCUUUUAUAAGGGAAUAAAGUGCGGGACGUGUCCCGUUUUGUAUGUACCUUAUGAAUAAGGAUCGGCUAACUCCGUGCCAGCAGCCGCGGUAAUACGGAGGAUCCGAGCGUUAUCCGGAUUUAUUGGGUUUAAAGGGAGCGUAGAUGGAUGUUUAAGUCAGUUGUGAAAGUUUGCGGCUCAACCGUAAAAUUGCAGUUGAUACUGGAUAUCUUGAGUGCAGUUGAGGCAGGCGGAAUUCGUGGUGUAGCGGUGAAAUGCUUAGAUAUCACGAAGAACUCCGAUUGCGAAGGCAGCCUGCUAAGCUGCAACUGACAUUGAGGCUCGAAAGUGUGGGUAUCAAACAGGAUUAGAUACCCUGGUAGUCCACACGGUAAACGAUGAAUACUCGCUGUUUGCGAUAUACAGCAAGCGGCCAAGCGAAAGCGUUAAGUAUUCCACCUGGGGAGUACGCCGGCAACGGUGAAACU
rnacentral:rRNA from 1 species